rnacentral:rRNA from 1 species
AGAACGAACGCUGGCGGCAUGCCUAACACAUGCAAGUCGAACGAGACCUUCGGGUCUAGUGGCGCACGGGUGCGUAACGCGUGGGAAUCUGCCCUUGGGUUCGGGAUAACAGUUGGAAACGACUGCUAAUACCGGAUGAUGUCUUCGGACCAAAGAUUUAUCGCCCAGGGAUGAGCCCGCGUAGGAUUAGCUUGUUGGUGAGGUAAGAGCUCACCAAGGCGACGAUCCUUAGCUGGUCUGAGAGGAUGAUCAGCCACACUGGGACUGAGACACGGCCCAGACUCCUACGGGAGGCAGCAGUGGGGAAUAGUUGGACAAU